ACUAGGUGUCUUUAUCUAGUGCAAAGGAUAAAGGGGAUGGACCCCACGUCUAUAAAUAAAUAUUAUGCACCUUUCCUUUUAAGUUAAAACAAUUCUUAAAGUGUAGGACUCAUAUUCCAUCUUCAGAAUGUUCCCUAGCGUGUUCAAAUGGAAAUAAAAAUAGGACCAAGUUUUGGGCAACAACAACGAGAAAGAAAUCACGAUUUGAAAACUAUUCACAUAUCGGUUUCGUAAUUCUAUCACGAUUUCCUCUGGAUCAUAGCAAAAUUGGAGAUUUUUUUUUCUGAAUUGAAGUAAAGUGGAAGAAGAUUAUCUCUGGACAUAUAAGGCUAAAAGAGCGACGAGACGAACGGGUUACGAAUAGUCGCUAACAGGUACAGACGCACAGUUUGGUGAUCCACCAGUUUAGGACACCCUCUUCUGCUAUUUGGAGUGCUCCUCUUAUUCCGGAGCCUACAUUUUGGUAUAUAUACUUGUUUGAUGCAUAUGUAUAUAUUUGUUCAGGGGUACGGCGGGGCCCUGUUUUGCCAUAUGAUCCGUUUGGUCUGUUUAGAGGUCUGUAGACGUAUUUGUGGGUGUGUGUGUCUACUUCUGUAUGGGUGUGUUUGGUAUGAUCCCAUUCGUUAUGGCAGCCUUGUCGGCGUGCAUUCGUAUAUGUGUUUUGGGCCGUUGUGCCAUUUGAUAGCCUUGUCGGCUUUUGAUAUAUGUAUAUGUGUAUGUUUGCGCUGAAA